AAAUUGUAGAAAUUUUUUUAGUACUUUCUCUCUCUAUAACGAAAAAAAAAUCCCUUUUUUACCCCCCCUUCGAGAAAUCUUGGAAAUCCGUCGGCACAAACCCCCUUUUUUGCUGUAAUCGAUUUUUUCAGAUUUGAGCUUAGUGAUACUGGAGUUCAGGGCAUAAUGGUGUUUGUGUUUUAGAAAAUUUUGCAAUGCUGUAAUUGGUGAAGUACGUGGGAGCUCAAGCCGACAUCUAUAGUGAAAAUCCAAGAAAAAAUCAAUUCUUUGAUCUUGGGUAAUCCUAAAGUUCCAAUUCUGAGCAAGAUUUAAGAAGAUAACUGAUUUAAUUGAAGGUCGGUGACAGAGUCAUAUAUGAUUUGAGGUUAUAGAUGGGUGAAUUCUAGCUUAUUCCAAGUACUUUUGUAAGGAAGAGGGUAGAGUUAAAGAGAAACCAAUGGAAGAUUGGUCCAAGUACGUUCACAGUCCAGCUCAUUUGGCUGUGGCUAAGCGAGACUAUGCUACAUUGAAAAGAAUAGUUGCUGACCUUCCUCAACUGUCCAAGGCUGGUGAAGUGAACACUGAGACAGAGUCUCUGGCUGCUGAGCUUAAUGCAGAUUCUGUUUCUGCAGUAAUUGAUAGGCGGGAUGUUCCUGGUCGUGAAACCCCAUUGCACCUUGCUGUUCGGAUGAGGGAUCCUGUCUCAGCUGAGAUUUUAAUGGCUGCAGGUGCUGAUUGGAGCCUUCAGAAUGAGAAUGGGUGGAGUGCUCUCCAGGAAGCAGUGUGUACCAAGGAGGAGAAUAUUGCUAUGAUUAUUGCUAGGCAUUAUCAGCCCCUUGCCUGGGCCAAGUGGUGCCGUAGACUUCCUAGGAUUGUUGCCUCAGCUGGUCGGAUUCGUGAUUUCUACAUGGAGAUAACCUUUCACUUUGAGAGCUCGGUAAUACCAUUCAUUGGACGGAUUGCUCCGUCAGACACUUACCGGAUUUGGAAACGGGGUUCUAAUCUUCGUGCAGAUAUGACUCUUGCAGGAUUUGAUGGGUUCCGCAUUCAACGGUCAGAUCAAACUUUCCUCUUUCUUGGAGAAGGGUAUUCAUCAGAAGAUGGAAACAGAUCUUUGAGUCCUGGUUCUUUGAUUGUGCUUGCUCACAAGGAGAAAGAGAUUACAAAUGCGUUAGAGGGAGCUGGUGUGCAACCAUCAGAAGCUGAAGUUGCUCGUGAGGUAGCUUUGAUGUCCCAAACAAAUAUGUAUAGACCAGGCAUUGAUGUCACCCAGGCGGAGCUUAUUCCCCACUUAAAUUGGAGGAGACAGGAGAGGUCUGAGAUGGUUGGUACAUGGAAGGCAAAGGUGUAUGAUAUGCUUAAUGUCAUGGUCAGUGUAAAAUCAAGGCGCGUUCCUGGUGCUAUAACUGAUGAGGAGCUCUUUACAGUGAAUGAUGAUGAGAAAGUAGUGAAUGGUGGUGACGAUGAUUAUGAUGAUGCAUUAACAGCUGAAGAAAGAAUGCAGUUAGAUUCUGCACUUCAGAUGGGCAAUUCAGAUGGACCUGGUGAGUAUGAAGAGCCUGAAGGUCACGAUUUCCAUGGAAACUCUGAUGGAGGUUCAUUUCAGAGUUGUGAAUCCAAUGGUGUUACAAAGGAGAAGAAAAGUUGGUUUGGUUGGAGCAAAAAAGGCCCCAAAGACACUAGUGAUGAUUCAGAAGACUCAAAGCUUGUAAAGAAGUUCUCAAAGCUGGCCCCAGAGGAUAGCAAGCUGAGACCAAAUGACAAUCAUGCAUCAUCAUCUGAAGUUGCUCGGGAGGAUUCUGGG
rnacentral:misc_RNA from 1 species